CUCUUUCCCUGCCGCCGCGGAGUCGCACGGAGGCGGAGGCUUGGGUGGUUCAAGAUUCCGCUUCACCCGUAACCCACCACCAUGGCCGAGGAAGGCAUUGCUGCUGGAGGCGUAAUGGACGUUAAUACUGCUUUACAAGAGGUGCUGAAGACCGCCCUCAUCCACGAUGGCCUAGCACGUGGAAUUCGCGAAGCUGCCAAAGCCUUAGACAAGCGCCAAGCCCAUCUUUGUGUGCUUGCAUCUAACUGUGAUGAGCCUAUGUAUGCCAAGUUGGUGGAGGCCCUUUGUGCUGAACACCAGAUCAACCUAAUUAAGGUUGAUGACAACAAGAAACUAGGAGAACGAGUAGGCCUCUGUAAAAUUGACAGAGAGGGGAAACCCCGUAAAAUGGUUGGUUGCAGUUGUGUAGUAGUUAAGGACUAUGGAAAGGAGUCUCAGGCCAAGGAUGUUAUCGAAGAGUACUUCAAAUGCAAGAAAUGAAUAAAUCAAUCUUUGGCUCACAAAAAAAAAAAAAAAAAAAAA